rnacentral:rRNA from 1 species
AACGAACGCUGGCGGCAUGCCUAACACAUGCAAGUCGAACGAGACCUUCGGGUCUAGUGGCGCACGGGUGCGUAACGCGUGGGAACCUGCCCUUAGGUUCGGAAUCACUCCCCGAAAGGGGUGCUAAUACCGGAUAAUGUCUCCGGACCAAAGAUUUAUCGCCUUUGGAUGGGCUCGCGUUGGAUUAGCUAGUUGGUAGGGUAAAAGCCUACCAAGGCGACGAUCCUUAGCUGGUCUGAGAGGAUGAGCAGCCACACUGGGACUGGGACACGGCCCAGACUCCUACGGGAGGCAGCAGUGGGGAAUAUUGGACAAUGGGCGAAAGCCUGAUCCAGCAAGGCCGCGUGAGUGAUGAAGGCCUUAGGGUUGUAAAGCUCUUUUACCCGGGAUGAUAAUGACAGUACCGGGAGAAUAAGCUCCGGCUAACUCCGUG